rnacentral:rRNA from 1 species
UACGUAGGGGGCAAGCGUUGUCCGGAAUCAUUGGGCGUAAAGCGCGUGUAGGCGGCUCGGCAAGUCCGCUGUGAAAGUCCAGGGCUCAACCCUGGAAUGCCGGUGGAAACUGUCGAGCUAGAGUCCGGAAGAGGCGAGUGGAAUUCCUGGUGUAGCGGUGAAAUGCGCAGAUAUCAGGAGGAACACCAAUGGCGAAGGCAGCUCGCUGGGACGGUACUGACGCUGAGACGCGAAAGCGUGGGGAGCAAACAGG